CUUUUGAACCACCCCUAAUAAAAGGUCCUGCCUGCCCUGUGAAUUAAUUUUUAACGGCCGCGGUAUCUUGACCGUGCAAAGGUAGCGUAAUCACUUGUCUUUUAAAUGAAGACCCGUAUGAAUGGCAAAACGAGGGCUUAACUGUCUCCUCCCCCCAGUCAAUGAAAUUGAUCUCCCCGUGCAGAAGCGGGGAUAACAACAU
rnacentral:rRNA from 1 species